CUGCGACGACCAGUUAUUGCUAAUUUGUACGUCGACUCAAACCAGUUUGACUUGAUCAAAUAUCAACAUAUUUCGUUACGCUUUUGUCUAUGUAACACUAUAUACCUGUCCUAGGUAAAAACAACAAUUGUUAAACUGUACAAAACAUCGUAGUUUAUACAAGUGUUUGGUAUGUAAUGAAUAUUAGAUUAGUCAUACUUGCAGUGCGUUGAAUAACCUAACACCAGGAAAUAACAAAGAUUCUCUUAUUUAAAACGUAUUCCUAUGGCGAUUUUUUUCGCAGCAGUUCACUUUCCUGUGAAUAUACCUUUUAUAGAAAUAUACUGAGUGAAAAGGCGAAUAGUUGCUAUUAAAAAUAAAGAGCAGUAGGGAAAUGAGCAAUCGGGUGACUCAGAGUUAAGAGCUAAAGGCCGUGGACACCUUCAACACCGGGAGAUUUGCAAGUGCGUUACCAGCCUUUAAGGUAGUGGUACGAUAUUUUCUUGAAGGGUCUACGUCUUAACGGUUCGGUUAUACCUGGAUUGGCAGUAUAAAGUGGUGAUGCGCGGCAAGAAAACGUAUUUUUAUGUAAAUAGAAAAUAAAUAUAAAACGCAAUGAUCGAAACAAUACUUUUAUUUUAUUUAUUGCGAAAGAUUUCUAUAUAACAGGGUUUCAAUUUAAGGAAGCCUAUGCUAUGUACUAAAUAAAUGAAAAACAAGAUGAUAUUU